rnacentral:rRNA from 1 species
CAGCCGCCGCGGUAAAACGAAGGGUGCAAGCGUUACUCGGAAUUACUGGGCGUAAAGCGUGCGUAGGUGGUGGUUUAAGUCCGUUGUGAAAGCCCUGGGCUCAACCUGGGAAUUGCAGUGGAUACUGGGUCACUAGAGUGUGGUAGAGGAUAGUGGAAUUUCCGGUGUAGCAGUGAAAUGCGUAGAGAUCGGAAGGAACAUCUGUGGCGAAGGCGACUAUCUGGGCCAACACUGACACCGAGGCACGAAAGCGUGGGGAGCAAACAGGAUUAGAUACCCGAGUAGUCCCUGUCUCUUAUAC